rnacentral:rRNA from 1 species
GACGAACGCUUGCGGCGUGCUUAACACAUGCAAGUCGAACGGAAAUGCCCUGCUUUUGUGGUGUUCUCGAGUGGCGAACUGUUUAGUAACACGUGAGUAACCUGCCCUUGACUUUGGGAUAACUUCAGGAAACUGGGGCUAAUACCGGAUAGGAGCUCCUGCUGCAUGGUGGGGGUUGGAAAGUUUCGGCGGUUGGGGAUGGACUCGCGGCUUAUCAGCUUGUUGGUGGGGUAGUGGCUUACCAAGGCUUUGACGGGUAGCCGGCCUGAGAGGGUGACCGGCCACAUUGGGACUGAGAUAAGGCCCAGACUCCUACGGGAGGCAGCAGUGGGGAAUAUUGCAAAAUGGGCGGAAGCCUGAUGCAGCAACGCCGCGUGCGGGAUGACGGCCUUCGGGUUGUAAACCGCGUUCGCCUGUGACGAAGCGUGAGUGACGGUAAUGGGUAAAGAAGCACCGGCUAACUACGUG